rnacentral:rRNA from 1 species
GAGUUUGAUCAUGGCUCAGAUUGAACGCUGGCGGCAUGCCUUACACAUGCAAGUCGAACGGCAGCACGGGAGCUUGCUCCUGGUGGCGAGUGGCGAACGGGUGAGUAAUGCAUCGGAACGUAUCCUGGAGUGGGGGAUAACGUAGCGAAAGUUACGCUAAUACCGCAUAUUCUGUGAGCAGGAAAGCGGGGGACCUUCGGGCCUCGCGCUCUUGGAGCGGCCGAUGUCGGAUUAGCUAGUUGGUGAGGUAAAGGCUCACCAAGGCGACGAUCCGUAGCAGGUCUGAGAGGAUGAUCUGCCACACUGGAACUGAGACACGGUCCAGACUCCUACGGGAGGCAGCAGUGGGAAUUUUGGACAAUGGGGCAACCCUGAUCCAGCCAUGCCGCGUGAGUGAAGAAGGCCUCGGUU